GACAGGCAGACUCGAUCCUACUGUAGAUGACUAAAAUUAAAAGACAACAUAAGAUAUACUAAAAAAAAUUAAGAAGUUUCCCCAAGCAGCUUGUGCAUGCAAUGGUCUUGACUAGAAUGGUCCAGGGUAUUUGUAUCCAUACCUGAAUGAGAAAAAUAAGAUCGAAUAGAGUUAGUGACUGAAGACACAUGUAAGAGACCACAACACCUCCUAUUGGACACAUGCAAGACAUGAUUUAGCUAUUUUUUGAUAAUUAAACUAUGUAAAAAGUGCAAACUCAACAUAAAGUAACCUCAAAGAUAUGGAAAUACCUCAGUAAAACAUAUAUGGACUCAAACUCCAACUAAUCAUUGCCCAAAAAUUAACUUGCAGAAAUGAAUCAUUUUACAAAAUGGCCGGUGUGGCCGAAAGUUGCUAAAGAUGCAAAUUCAAAAGGACGGACCUUAAAGUAAUAUGACACCUAGUUGUGGACUCAAAAUUAUAAGAUAUGGGUAAUUGAACCACUUUUGUAAAAAAGACCCAUUUUGCGAGAAUGACCGAUGUGGCUAAUAGCGGAUGGUCAUGCAAAUUCAAUAGGAAUGGACCUUAAAACUGAAAGGACACCUUGAUGUGGGCUUAGGACUCUAAGACAUAGGUUAUAAGCCACAUUCACAAAAAUAACCCCAUUUUGCAAGAAUGACCGAUGUGGCCAAAAAUGGCUAGACAUGCAAGAUUUGGCUAAGACCCCGUGAAGCCAAGAACCUAAGACUUACUAAGAACACCAGACCCUAUCUGGGUUGCCUACGUAUCACGUCUCGAAAGACAAGAAUCAGGUUCACGUAGUUCGGAAAGAUGCAACUAAUGUGAAAAAAAUUAUAUUUUUGCCUUUUUUGAAAAAUGAUGAAAAAUGUAAACUAUUUUUUGGAUUUUCUUUUUCUCCUUUUUCUUUUAAAUUUUUGGAAAAUGAUAGAAAAUGCAAAAUCUUUUUGGAUUUUCUAUUUUUUAAAAAUAAUAGAAAAGUGUAAAUCUCUUUGAAUUUUUCUUCAUUUUCAUUUUUCGAAAUUUUUUUUUUGGAAAAUAAUGGAAAAGUGUAAAAUCAUUUUUGAAUUUUUCAUGUUUAUUUUUUUUGUGAAUUUUUGGAAAAAUUAUUGCAAAGUGUAAAAUCAUUUUGGAUUUUCUUUUUUCAUUUUUUUUGAAUUUUUGAAAAUGAUGGAAAAGUGUAAAAUAUUUUUUGAUUUUCUAUUUUCAAAUUUUUUUUUUGAUUUUUGAAAGACUAUGAAAGAAAAUGCGAGUGAGCCCUGCUUGCUUAUUGGUUCGCCAAAUGAGCUUUUUACCCUUGAAGAUUCAACAUUUAACACAUAGGAUAAUUAAAUAUCAUUUUGGGCCAUAAGCCCAUUUUUGGCAUAAUUUGGAUCAGCCUCGUACAACGGGUCACAAUGCCUGGGAUCGAACCCUGCUAAGUUUAGAUGAUAUGAUGCAAAUAAGCAUGACCUAAAGGCUGACCUACGAUUUGGGUUCACUAGAAAAUGCAAUUCGGGGCAGCACGUGGUCGAUGGCGGCUGCUCUAGCUGUCCACCCACUCGACGCUCCCACACCACCCCCUAAAGACACGGGUGAAUCACAAAAAUGCCGUGUACGCUGAAACGUACUCCGGAAGACUUGUUGCAGAAAGAAGACUUGGGGUUAUGCAAAUGAUGACAGUUAUAAAGCAGUAAACACAUAAAGCGGAAAUUGUAAACACAUAAGCAAUUAGCAAAUAAUAACAAAAAUAUAAAAACAUAAUAAAUAUUAUGUAAAGCUAAUGAAAAAACAUAAAAUCCUCAACCGAAUAUUCUAAAAGCCAACAAGAUUAAAUACUAGCUCGAACCUGCAAAUCCCUAGCAGAGUCGCCAGAGAUCUCACACCCUUUUUUUUUUUAAUAAACUCUUACUUAACCCUCUUAAAUAAAUAAAAAGAUAUAAAUAAAGAUUUUAAAGGGUUUUUUCAAUUUUGAAAGUGACAAAAAAUGUGUUUCAAAAGGAUUAAAACUCAGAGUCACCACCUGACUUAUAUUUCGGUGUGCCAGGUCACCGUUUUUUUAAAAAAAAUAUUAAUUUUCCAUUUAAAACACUUGAACUCCAAACUAAGUCCGCACCAGUGAUUCAGGUAAGGAGGUUUAUUUGACUCGGGUAGAAGGUGUUAGGCACUCCCCAAGUCCCCUGAAGGUCACAGUUGCGUACUAGAUCUAGUUGGAUUUUAAAAUGUUCGAAUUGAGGCAAGAAAACAUAAAAGAAAAAUAAAUACACACGAGGUCCGAGGUCAUCCCCACCUAAUAAAAGAAAAAUAAAACAAAAUGAAAUAAGUCUUUCUAGCCUAUACUAUGCUUCCAUUGAUGUUGCCACGACUUCCAAUUACAGAAUACGUUGGGGCAUACCCCGGAUAAAGAUAUAUACAAAUUCCUCGGGGCAUUCCCCGAAUAUAUAUUCAACUAAGGAAAUGACCUCUUGCCUCGAAAUUAAAAGCAUACAAAUAAAAAAAUCCUAAAAUUUACUUACGCGAAUGUUGUCGGUCUAAACAUACUCCUAUCGAUCCGAGUGACCAAAGAGAAAUAAAACAAGAAGCAGAAACUUUCUCAAGUUUAAUUUCUUUCUCAUAUUUAUCCAAGACCCAAUCCAAUUCUUCCACUAAUAUUACAUUAAACUAAAGCUUAAGGCUAGGAUCAAUUUCAUGAUUACUAAUAAAUGUGCAUAUAAGCAUGUGAAUCAAAUUAACGUACUAACUGAGCAGUAGCUAAUAGUGUCCAAUAAAUCAAACAAUGCACUUUCAAUUCAAAGCAGAUAAUAUCGCAACAUCAUUAUUGGUAAGGUGGACUCAUUGGGCCAUGUCGUAGAUAAUAUUGCAAACAAGCAAUGAAUCGUCGUGUAAGAGUAACGAAAUGAAACAGAGGGAGAAGAAAAGAUAGACCUCUACUAUCUCGAAAAAUAUGGCUGCGCUACUGGCCGAAAUUAGAACCUUCAACUGGAAAACGAAUUCAACAAAUAAAAACUCAACCAGUACCUCGACGGAAAACCCUCGCAGAAAUGAUCUGAACUUGACCCCCGUUUGUGCUUCAAUCGAAAUGAAAGGGCAUAGAUGAUGGCAGGAAGGUGAUAAGAUGAAGAAGAAUGGGUGCUAUUUGGUGUUGCGGCAGGAGGAGGUGACGUGAAGCAGCAACUAUGGAGCUGCUCGCUGCUGCUCAUCUGGCUUCGACGGGCUGUGGCUUGGACGUGAGGAGGGAUAGGCGGCUGGUUCACGUGGAGGUCGAUUGAAAUGGAGGUUAUGGAGGCGAGUAGCGUGGGGGGGGGGGGGGGGGGGGGGGGGGGGGGGGGGGGGGGGGGGGGGGGGGGGGGGGGGGGGGGAGGGGUCACACAGCAGCUGGUCGCUGGUCGAUUGGAAAAAGGGGGUACGACGUGACAACGGUGGUGUGGGGAAUCUAGGGCUUUUUUACAUCCUUUCCAUCUUCUUCAGAAUGAAGAAUAUCAAGUAGUAGUUGUAGGUUUUUUUUCUUUUGUUCCUGGCGGCUGAAGAGUGUUAGCUAGGGUUUUUGUUGUAGGUUGUUCCCUUCAUUGUUGUCUUGUUAAAGAAGAU
rnacentral:lncRNA from 1 species